CAGUAGCCGCGGGAAUACGAAGGGUGCAAGCGUUACUCGGAAUUACUGGGCGUAAAGCGUGCGUAGGUGGUGGUUUAAGUCCGUUGUGAAAGCCCUGGGCUCAACCUGGGAAUUGCAGUGGAUACUGGGUCACUAGAGUGUGGUAGAGGAUAGUGGUAUUUCCGGUGUAGCAGUGAAAUGCGUAGAGAUCGGAAGGAACAUCUGUGGCGAAGGCGACUAUCUGGGCCAACACUGACACUGAGGCACGAAAGCGUGGGGAGCAAACAGGAUUAGAUACCCCCGUAGUCCCUGUCUCUUAUAC
rnacentral:rRNA from 1 species